CCACUUCCUUCCUUCUGCCACUUCCUUCCACCACUUCCUUCUGCCACUUCUUUCACCACUUCCUUCCCUCCCCAUGAAGAAUUGCCCACUGUAGGAACUACACUGUAAGGGGAAGUUCCUAUUCAGGGUCACUGUUAUGCACUAUGGAGCCCUGUUGUCCUGGAGAUGUUGAACAUCUGCUUGUCCAUGGAAGUGAAUGAAGAAGUGAUUGUGUGGGCAUGGGCUGUAGGCUGAGAUUAAACCAUGCAAACAAGAGAAGUAUGAAACAAGAAAACAGGUCAGUAUUUAUGAAAAAAAUAAACUUUCGUUCCAAUAAAAAGCUGGAAAUUUACUUUUCAUAAAAAGUGUUCUUUUUCAAAUUGAUUUUUCUUUGUAUUAGCUUUGUUACUGUCGUGGUUUGGCCCAGAAAUGUGUUUCUGGAAAGGUCUAAGUCGGGCUAAUCAGUGGCCAAAUUCAAAAUUGGCAUGUGAUGUGGCCACUGAGGAUCUGGAUAGGCCUCUGAGAACACACGGGGGUUAAAAGCAGGAGAUUCCCAGAGAACUUCCUCUUUGGGAAUCCAGCGUUGGUGAGUAGGUCUGGCCUCUCCCCUGCCCAGCUGCGUCUGGGUGGGGGAGGGGGAGGCCAUGACGGGGAGGAGGCCGGGAGCCCCAGAAGGUGCAGAGGUGGAGGAGAACAUGCAGGGGUUGAUGAGAAUUGAGAUGUCUGGGCA